rnacentral:rRNA from 2 species
GCUUGCUGGGUGGAUCAGUGGCGAACGGGUGAGUAACACGUGAGCAACCUGCCCUGGACUCUGGGAUAAGCGCUGGAAACGGCGUCUAAUACUGGAUAUGAGAUGCAACCGCAUGGUUAGUGUCUGGAAAGAUUUUUCGGUCUGGGAUGGGCUCGCGGCCUAUCAGCUUGUUGGUGAGGUAAUGGCUCACCAAGGCGUCGACGGGUAGCCGGCCUGAGAGGGUGACCGGCCACACUGGGACUGAGACACGGCCCAGACUCCUACGGGAGGCAGCAGUGGGGAAUAUUGCACAAUGGGCGGAAGCCUGAUGCAGCAACGCCGCGUGAGGGAUGACGGCCUUCGGGUUGUAAACCUCUUUUAGCAAGGAAGAAGCGAAAGUGACGGUACUUGCAGAAAAAGCGCCGGCUAACUACGUGCCAGCAGCCGCGGUAAUACGUAGGGCGCAAGCGUUAUCCGGAAUUAUUGGGCGUAAAGAGCUCGUAGGCGGUUUGUCGCGUCUGCUGUGAAAUCCCGAGGCUCAACCUCGGGCCUGCAGUGGGUACGGGCAGACUAGAGUGCGGUAGGGGAGAUUGGAAUUCCUGGUGUAGCGGUGGAAUGCGCAGAUAUCAGGAGGAACACCG